CCCUUAGACGUUCUGGGCCGCACGCGCGCUACACUGACCAGUGCAACAAGCAUCCGUCCUUGGCCGACAGGCUCGGGCAAUCUUUGAACGCUGGUCGUGAUGGGGAUAGACUUUUGCAAUUUUUGGUCUUCAACGAGGAAUUCCUAGUAAACGCAAGUCAUCAGCUUGCGUUGAUUACGUCCCUGCCCUUUGUACACACCGCCCGUCGCUCCUACCGAUUGAAUGGUCCGGUGAAGCGUUCGGACCGUGGCCUUUGGACGGUUCGCCGUCUGUUGGCUGCGGGAAGUUCGUUAAACCUUAUCAUUUAGAGGAAGGAGAAGUCGUANCA
rnacentral:rRNA from 1 species